rnacentral:tRNA from 2 species
CCAUAGCUCAGCUGGAUAGAGCAACGGCCUUCUAAGCCGUGGGUCGCAGGUUCGAAUCCUGCUGG